CCCUUCAUGUGGGUAUUGGGUCUGAAAAACUCAUAGAGUCUGUGUUGUCAUCAGCUUCUUCUCUACCUAAUUUUUCACGAGAAUGGAGUUAAAUAACAGCACUAAAUAU
rfam:Morus notabilis contig10235, whole genome shotgun sequence.